AUGACUAUCAUCAUUGCAGGGGAGAUCGUCCAGAAUACAGCUCAGCUCGCUCACUGCCUAGGCAUGUUCUCAGCGACCCUUCUGCUGCUUGGAGUGCUCUUCACAGUGAGAGGAACCAGAGCCCAGUCAGUGAGCCAGCCUGAUGGUCACAUCACUGUCUCUGAAGGAACCUCUCUGGAGCUGAGGUGCAACUAUACCUCUAUCUAUGGUGCAUCUGUUUCUCUCUUUUGGUACGUCCAAUACCCUAGUCAAAACCUCCAGCUUCUUCUUAAGUCGGUAGGAGGGAAUACCCUGGUUAAUGGCAUCAAAGAUUUCAAGGCUGAAUUUAAGAAAAGUGAAAGCACCUUCCACCUGAGGAAAUCAUCAGCCCAUUGGAGCGACUCGGGUGUGUACUUCUGUGCUGUGAGUGACACAGUGCCUGAGACUGCAGGGGGAGCUGAACGCAAACCUCCUGAGACACUGGAGUUUUCAGACACUCAAGGACACAGCCUGACCUGUUUUUAG